AUUGAACGCUGGCGGUAUGCUUAACACAUGCAAGUCGAACGGUAACAGGCCUUCGGGCGCUGACGAGUGGCGGACGGGCGAGUAACGCGUAGGAAUCUGCCUCAUAGUGGGGACAACGUGGGGAAACUCACGCUAAUACCGCAUACGCCCUACGGGGAAAGCGGGGAUCUUCGGACCUCGCGCUAUGAGAUGAGCCUGCGUUAGAUUAGCUAGUUGGUAGGGUAAAGGCCUACCAAGGCGACGAUCUAUAGCUGGUCUGAGAGGACGAUCAGCCACACUGGGACUGAGACACGGCCCAGACUCCUACGGGAGGCAGCAGUGGGAAUAUUGGACAAUGGGCGCAAGCCUGAUCCAGCAAUACCGCGUGUGUGAAGAAGGCCCUAGGGUUGUAAAGCACUUUCAAUUAGGGAGGAAAACCUGUCGGUCAAUACCCGGCAGCUUGACAUUACCUUUAGAAGAAGCACCGGCUAACUCCGUGCCAGCAGCCGCGGUAA
rnacentral:rRNA from 1 species